rnacentral:rRNA from 1 species
GACGAACGCUGGCGGCGUGCUUAACACAUGCAAGUCGAACGGAAAGGCCCUGCUUUUGUGGGGUGCUCGAGUGGCGAACGGGUGAGUAACACGUGAGUAACCUGCCCUUGACUUUGGGAUAACUUCAGGAAACUGGGGCUAAUACCGGAUAGGAGCUCCUGCUGCAUGGUGGGGGUUGGAAAGUUUCGGCGGUUGGGGAUGGACUCGCGGCUUAUCAGCUUGUUGGUGGGGCAGUGGCUUACCAAGGCUUUGACGGGUAGCCGGCCUGAGAGGGUGACCGGCCACAUUGGGACUGAGAUACGGCCCAGACUCCUACGGGAGGCAGCGGUGGGGAAUAUUGCACAAUGGGCGGAAGCCUGAUGCAGCAACGCCGCGUGCGGGAUGACGGCCUUCGGGUUGUAAACCGCUUUCGCCUGUGACGAAGCGUGAGUGACGGUAAUGGGUAAAGAAGCACCGGCUAACUACGUG